rnacentral:rRNA from 1 species
GGGGGUGGAAUUCCMCGKGUWGCAGUGAAUGCGUWAGAGAUGUGGAGGAACMCCSAUGGCGAAGGCAGCCCCUGGGAUAACMCUGACGCUCCAUGCACGAAAGCGUGGGGAGCAACCAGGAUUAGAUACCCUGGUAGUCCACGCCCCUAAACGAUGUCGACUGGUUGUUGGAAGGGUAACCUUUUAGUAACGAAGCUAACGCGUGAAGUCGACCGCCUGGGGAGUACGGUCGCAAGAUUAAAACUCAAAGGAAUUGACGGGGACCCGCACAAGCGGUGGAUGAUGUGGUUUAAUUCGAUGCAACGCGAAAAACCUUACCUACACUUGACAUGUCAGAAAUCCUGCAGAGAUGUGGGAGUGCCGCAAGGAAUCUGAACACAGGUGCUGCAUGGCUGUCGUCAGCUCGUGUCGUGAGAUGUUGGGUUAAGUCCCGCAACGAGCGCAACCCUUGUCACUAGUUGCUACAUUUAGUUGGGCACUCUAGUGAGACUGCCGGUGACAAACCGGAGGAAGGUGGGGAUGACGUCAAGUCCUCAUGGCCCUUAUGUGUAGGGCUACACACGUCAUACAAUGGUCGGUACAGAGGGUUGCCAACCCGCGAGGGGGAGCUAAUCUCACAAAGCCGAUCGUAGUCCGGAUCGCAGUCUGCAACUCGACUGCGUGAAGUCGGAAUCGCUAGUAAUCGUGGAUCAGCAUGUCACGGUGAAUACGUUCCCGGGUCUUGUACACACCGCCCGUCACACCAUGGGAGUGGAAUCCGCCAGAAGUAGGUAGCCUAACCGCAAGGGGGGCGCUUACCACGGUAGGUUUCAUGACUGGGGUGAAGUCGUAACAAGGUAAC